GAUGAACGCUGGCGGCGUGCCUAACACAUGCAAGUCGAGCGAAGCGCUUAAAUUAUAUUUCUUCGGACUGACGAUUUUUGUGACUGAGCGGCGGACGGGUGAGUAACUCGUGGUUAACCUGCCUCCUACAGGGGGAUAACAGUUAGAAAUGACUGCUAAUACCGCAUAAGACCCCAGCUUCGCAUGAAGCGGUGGUAAAAACUCCGGUGGUAUGAGAUGGACCCGCGUCUGUUUAGCUAGUUGGUAAGGUAACGGCUUACCAAGGCGACGAUCAGUAGCCGAGCUGGGAGGGUGACCGGCCACAUUGGGACUGAGACACGGACCAGACUCCUACGGGAGGGAGGAGUGGGGAAUAUUGCACAAUGGGGGAAACCCUGAUGCAGCGACGCCGCGUGAAGGAUGAAGUAUUUCGGUAUGUGAACUUCUAUCAGCAGGGAAGAGAGUGACGGUACCUGACUAAGAAGCCCCGGCUAACUACGUG
rnacentral:rRNA from 1 species